GACGAAGGUGGCAAGCGUUGUUCGGAAUCACUGGGCAUAAAGCGCGCGUAGGUGGCCUGAUAAGUCGGUGGUGAAAUCCCAUGGCUCAACCAUGGAACGGCCGUCGAUACUGUCGGGCUUGAGGACGGUAGGGGAGAGUGGAACUCCUGGUGUAGCGGUGAAAUGCGUAGAUAUCAGGAGGAACGCCGGUGGCGAAAGCGGCUAUCUGGCUCGAUACUGACACUGAGAUGCGAAAGCGUGGGGAUCAAACAGG
rnacentral:rRNA from 1 species